rnacentral:misc_RNA from 1 species
UAAUAAGGUGUUUUUAUGGCACUUUUUAAAUCCAUAUCCACCUUGUGUGCAAUGUCAGUCGAUCUUCUUCAUGGAGAUCGACCAAACAUCAACCUUUAUCUUUUAACUCUUUGUCUGAAAAAAUAUUAUGAAUAAACAAUUCAAAAUA